GAUGAACGCUGGCGGCGUGCCUAAUACAUGCAAGUCGAGCGAACAGACGAGGAGCUUGCUCCUCUGACGUUAGCGGCGGACGGGUGAGUAACACGUGGAUAACCUACCUAUAAGACUGGGAUAACUUCGGGAAACCGGAGCUAAUACCGGAUAAUAUAUUGAACCGCAUGGUUCAAUAGUGAAAGACGGUUUUGCUGUCACUUAUAGAUGGAUCCUCGCCGCAUUAUCUAGUUGGUAAGGUAACGGCUUACCAAGGCAACGAUGCGUAGCCGACCUGGGAGGGUGAUCGGCAACACUGGAACGGAGACACGGUCCAGACUCCUACGGGAGGCAGCAGUAGGGAAUCUUCCGCAAUGGGCGAAAGCCUGACGGAGCAACGCCGCGUGAGUGAUGAAGGUCUUCGGAUCGUAAAACUCUGUUAUUAGGGAAGAACAAAUGUGUAAGUAACUAUGCACGUCUUGACGGUACCUAAUCAGAAAGCCACGGCUAACUACGUG
rnacentral:rRNA from 1 species